UGGGGAAUUUUGGACAAUGGGCGAAAGCCUGAUCCAGCAAUGCUGCGUGUGUGAAGAAGGCCUUCGGGUUGUAAAGCACUUUUGUCCGGAAAGAAAUCCUUGGCUCUAAUACAGUCGGGGGAUGACGGUACCGGAAGAAUAAGCACCGGCUAACUACGUGCCAGCAGCCGCGGUAAUACGUAGGGUGCAAGCGUUAAUCGGAAUUACUGGGCGUAAAGCGUGCGCAGGCGGUUUGCUAAGACCGAUGUGAAAUCCCCGGGCUCAACCCGGGAACUGCAUUGGUGACUGGCAGGCUAGAGUAUGGCAGAGGGGGGUAGAAUUCCACGUGUAGCAGUGAAAUGCGUAGAGAUGUGGAGGAAUACCGAUGGCGAAGGCAGCCCCCUGGGCCAAUACUGACGCUCAUGCACGAAAGCGUGGGGAGCAAACAGGAUUAGAUACCCUGGUAGUCCACGCCCUAAACGAUGUCAACUAGUUGUUGGGGAUUCAUUUCCUUAGUAACGUAGCUAACGCGUGAAGUUGGACCGCCUGGGGAGUACGGUCGCAAGAUUAAAACUC
rnacentral:rRNA from 1 species